UACGGAGGAGGCAAGCGUUAUCCGGAAUUAUUGGGCGUAAAGCGCUCGCAGGUGGUUCGAUGCGUCGUGCGUGAAAGACCCCGGCUCAACUGGGGAGGGUCGUGCGAUACGGUCGGACUGGAGGCCAGUAGGGGGAUGCGGAAUUCCGGGUGUAGUGGUGGAAUGCGUAGAGAUCCGGAGGAACACCAGCGGCGAAGGCGGCAUCCUGGACUGGUCCUGACACUCAUGAGCGAAAGCGUGGGGAGCGAUCCGG
rnacentral:rRNA from 1 species